GGAUGACACUUUUCGGAGCGUAAACUCCUUUUCUUAGGGAAGAAUUCUGACGGUACCUAAGGAAUAAGCACCGGCUAACUCCGUGCCAGCAGCCGCGGUAAUACGGAGGGUGCAAACGUUACUCGGAAUCACUGGGCGUAAAGGGCGCGUAGGCGGAUUAUCAAGUCUCUUGUGAAAUCUAAUGGCUUAACCAUUAAACUGCUUGGGAAACUGAUAAUCUAGAGUGGGGGAGAGGCAGAUGGAAUUGGUGGUGUAGGGGUAAAAUCCGUAGAUAUCACCAAGAAUACCCAUUGCGAAGGUGAUCUGCUGGAACUUAACUGACGCUAAGGCGCGAAAGCGUGGGGAGCAAACAGGAUUAGAUACCCUGGUAGUCCACGCCCUAAACGAUGUACACUAGUUGUUGGGGUGCUAGUCAUCUCAGUAAUGCAGCUAACGCAUUAAGUGUACCGCCUGGGGAGUACGGUCGCAAGAUUAAAACUCAAAGGAAUAGACGGGGACCCGCACAAGCGGUGGAGCAUGUGGUUUAAUUCGAAGAUACGCGAAGAACCUUACCUAGGCUUGAUAUCCAACAAAUUCUGUAGAGAUACGGAAGUGCUAGCUUGCUAGAAUGUUGAGACAGGUGCUGCACGGCUGUCGUCAGCUCGUGUCGUGAGAUGUUGGGUUAAGUCCCGCAACGAGCGCAACCCACGUAUUUAGUUGCUAACAGUUAGGCUGAGCACUCUAAAUAGACUGCCUUCGUAAGGAGGAGGAAGGUGUGGACGACGUCAAGUCAUCAUGGCCCUUAUGCCUAGGGCGACACACGUGCUACAAUG
rnacentral:rRNA from 1 species